GAUGAACGCUGGCGGCGUGCUUAACACAUGCAAGUCGAACGAAGCACUUUAUUUGAUUUCCUUCGGGACUGAUUAUUUUGUGACUGAGUGGCGGACGGGUGAGUAACGCGUGGGUAACCUGCCUUGUACAGGGGGAUAACAGUUGGAAACGGCUGCUAAUACCGCAUAAGCGCACAGCAUCGCAUGAUGCAGUGUGAAAAACUCCGGUGGUAUAAGAUGGACCCGCGUUGGAUUAGCUAGUUGGUGAGGUAACGGCCCACCAAGGCGACGAUCCAUAGCCGACCUGAGAGGGUGACCGGCCACAUUGGGACUGAGACACGGCCCAAACUCCUACGGGAGGCAGCAGUGGGGAAUAUUGCACAAUGGGCGAAAGCCUGAUGCAGCGACGCCGCGUGAGCGAAGAAGUAUUUCGGUAUGUAAAGCUCUAUCAGCAGGGAAGAUAAUGACGGUACCUGGCGAAGAAGCACCGGCUAAAUACGUG
rnacentral:rRNA from 1 species